GGCCUCAAGAUCACCAGUACACUGUGAGCUUCUCAUUCAGCUCAUGGGUCUUGCUGGCUCCACUGUGGCCUGGCCCCAGGACCUCUGUCACUUAGUCUUUCCCUCCCUCCCACAGCACAAGCACAGCUGGCAUCCUUGAACACGAGGCAUCCAGCAUCCCCUACCAGCAAGAACUCCGUCUGGACCCCGGACCCAAAGCUUCUGGAAGCCCUCCCCACCCACAGCCCCUCAGAAUCCUGGGCCUGCUGCUGCUCAGGGCCCCAGUCUUCCUGACCCCUCAGAAAGCAAGCCCCAGGGCCCCUCCUCCACAAGGCCCGAUGGCAUCGGUGGCAAUGGCUGAUGUCUUGUUCACCAGCACGUGAAUGGCCUGGGCCACCUCACCUAGCUGGUCUCUGCCCCCAUUUUAUGAUGAGAUUGAGUCUUUCUUCACUUGCAUGCCCCUUCAAGGGGGGACAACUCCCUGGACAAGGUCACUCUCUGGCCAUAUUGUGCACACAGACCUACCUUCAAAAAGGCUUAGUACACCCAGGCACACCCAACACAGGAACUCACGCCAAGCAAGACCUGGAGGAACUCAGAAGCCGCAGUCACACCGAGGCCCCGUGUCUGGAGGGGACUGUCCGGGCGCCAUGAAGAGGCAGGAACAAAGAAAAUGGAACUCUACCUUGAGAAACCAGCCAACGGAGCUGCUUGAAGACAUCUAGGAGGGCGUUCAUGAAGGAAAAUACUAGAAUACUAGAGAAAAAUAACAAGAUAAUUACACACAUAAUCAAUUGUAGCUCUGUGAGAUGCAUGAAGCGUCAGGCUUACUGUCGUCACUGGGUGCUGAGAAUCAGCGGGUUUCUUAUAGAGGGCUUUGCUCUAAAGAGAAGCGAACAAGAGCACGCUGAAUGCCUAAUGUGAGCCAGGCAUGUUCACACAUGUGGCUCCAUGUAGGGCCGUCCACUCCACAACAGCUGUGAUGUCGGCAUCCUUGACUCAGAGAGACAGGGCUUGGGGUGGGCAGAUAACUUGCCCAAGAUCACAGGGUCCUGUCUGCCCGCCUGACCGGAACGCAGCUCCACUUCCCACCACGUCCAGCUACUGAAAUGGCAGCAUUUCAGCAGCACUUCAAGGAAGAGGAAGAAUAUUCCAAGCUUGGGGAGGAGGAGCAGGGAGACGGCGCAGGGAAGGAAGUGAAUCCACUGACUUCACUACAGCCUGCUUUGAAAACCAUAAUGGAGAAAGUCACCCAGAUUUGCUCACAUAUAUAAGCGAGUAUAUAUAUUUAAUCUUAAUCAA